GAUGAAGAACGUAGCGAAAUGCGAUAAGUAAUGUGAAUUGCAGAAUUCAGUGAAUCAUCGAAUCUUUGAACGCACAUUGCGCCCGCCAGUAUUCUGGCGGGCAUGCCUGUCCGAGCGUCAUUUCAACCCUCGAACCCCUCCGGGGGGUCGGCGUUGGGGAUCGGCCCUUUCACGGGGUGCCGUCCCCCAAAUACAGUGGCGGUCUCGCCGCAGCCUCUCAUGCGCAGUAGUUUGCACACUCGCACCGGGAGCGCGGCGCGUCCACGUCCGUAAAACACCCCAAACUUCUGAAAUGUUGACCUCGGAUCAGGUAGGAAUACCCGCUGAACUUAAGCAUAUCAAUAAGCGGAGGA
rnacentral:misc_RNA from 1 species